GGGGAAUAUUGCACAAUGGGGGAAACCCUGAUGCAGCGACGCCGCGUGAGCGAUGAAGUAUUUCGGUAUGUAAAGCUCUAUCAGCAGGGAAGAAAAUGACGGUACCUGACUAAGAAGCACCGGCUAAAUACGUGCCAGCAGCCGCGGUAAUACGUAGGGUCCAAGCGUUAUCCGGAUUUACUGGGUGUAAAGGGCGAGUAGACGGCGCUGUAAGUCAGCUGUGAAAACUUAGGGCUCAACCUUAAGCCUGCAGCUGAAACUGUAGUGCUAGAGUGCAGGAGAGGUAAGCGGAAUUCCUAGUGUAGCGGUGAAAUGCGUAGAUAUUAGGAGGAACACCAGUGGCGAAGGCGGCUUACUGGACUGUAACUGACGUUGAGGCGCGAAAGUGUGGGGAGCAAACAGGAUUAGAUACCCUGGUAGUCCACACCGUAAACGAUGGAUACUAGGUGUAGGCGAGAUAUCGUCUGUGCCGGCGCAAACGCAAUAAGUAUCCCACCUGGGGAGUACGGCCGCAAGGUUGAAACUCAAAGGAAUUGACGGGGGCCCGCACAAGCGGUGGAGCAUGUGGUUUAAUUCGAAGCAACGCGAAGAACCUUACCAAGUCUUGACAUCCUUCUGACCGUUCCUUAGCCGGAACUUCUCUUCGGAGCAGAAGUGACAGGUGGUGCAUGGUUGUCGUCAGCUCGUGUCGUGAGAUGUUGGGUUAAGUCCCGCAACGAGCGCAACCCUUAUUCUUAGUAGCCAGCAGGUAAAGCUGGGCACUCUAAGGAGACUGCCGGGGAUAACCCGGAGGAAGGUGGGGAUGACGUCAAAUCAUCAUGCCCCUUAUGAUCUGGGCUACACACGUGCUACAAUGGCGUAACAAAGGGAAGCGAGCCUGCGAGGGUGAGCAAAUCCCAAAAAUAACGUCUCAGUUCGGACUGUAGUCUGCAACCCGACUACACGAAGCUGGAAUCGCUAGUAAUCGCGAAUCAGAAUGUCGCGGUGAAUACGUUCCCG
rnacentral:rRNA from 1 species